rnacentral:rRNA from 1 species
GAGUUUGAUCCUGGCUCAGGAUGAACGCUGGCGGCGUGCUUAACACAUGCAAGUCGAACGGAGAUGUACGCUGAAGAAGCUUCGGUGGAUUCUUGUGCAUCUUAGUGGCGGACGGGUGAGUAACGCGUGGGCGACCUGCCUCACACAGGGGGAUAACAGCCAGAAAUGGCUGCUAAUACCGCAUAAGCGCACAGUGCUGCAUGGCACAGUGUGAAAAACCGAGGUGGUGUGAGAUGGGCCCGCGUCUGAUUAGCUUGUUGGCGGGGUAACGGCCCACCAAGGCAACGAUCAGUAGCCGGCUUGAGAGAGUGGACGGCCACAUUGGAACUGAGACACGGUCCAAACUCCUACGGGAGGCAGCAGUGGGGAAUAUUGCACAAUGGGGGAAACCCUGAUGCAGCGACGCCGCGUGAGUGAAGAAGUAUUUCGGUAUGUAAAGCUCUAUCAGCAGGGAAGAUAAUGACGGUACCUGACUAAGAAGCCCCGGCUAACUACGUGCCAGCAGCCGCGGUAAUACGUAGGGGGCAAGCGUUAUCCGGAUUUACUGGGUGUAAAGGGUGCGUAGGUGGCAUGGCAAGUCAGAAGUGAAAGCCCGGGGCUCAACCCCGCGGACUGCUUUUGAAACUGUCAG